UCCAAGAAUAUUAGUCAAUGCUCGCAAGAGUGAACUAGCUAACUGAAAUCAAUUUUCUUAUAUUAUUAUAAGAAUUGAUAACGUAAGGGACAAUAAUGAUGGUACCUUACUAAUAGUGUCGUCCAAAACUGGUGCCAGAAGACUCGGUAAGGCCAGAGACGCAAACGUUAGUCGUCCUAAUCAGGCGUAAAGGGUUUGUAGGCGGCUUUGAGAUUUUUCUCUUUUAUAUAGCCCUAACUAAAAAUUCAAAAAUAGUUAGAUUAAAGGAGAAAAACAAUUAAAGCUAGAAUCAAAUAGAGGUUAUAGUAAAUAAUACUUAGAGUAGGGCCGAUAUCCAUAAAUACUAAGGGGAAUAUUAACGGCGAAGGCUUUUUUCCACUAAUGAUUGACGCUGAGAAACGAAGGUGAGGAUAGGAAAUAGGAUUAGAUACCCAACAUACCCCUCUCUGUCAACGAUGAAUGGUGGUUACUAGUAAUUUAUUAGUGGCGAUGUUAACACGAUAACCAUUCCGCCUUGUGAGUACGACUGCAAAGUUGAAAACAAAAAAAUUAGUCGGUUUCGAAGCAAACGAAGUGAAGCAUGUUAUUUAAUUCGAUA
rnacentral:rRNA from 1 species